AUUAAACUGAAGAGUUUGAUCAUGGCUCAGAUUGAACGCUGGCGGUAUGCUUAACACAUGCAAGUCGAACGGUAACAG
rnacentral:rRNA from 1 species